rnacentral:rRNA from 1 species
UACGUAGGGGGCGAGCGUUGUCCGGAUUUAUUGGGCGUAAAGAGCUCGUAGGCGGUUUGGUAAGUCGGGUGUGAAAUCUCCACGCUCAACGUGGAGGGGCCACUCGAUACUGCCAUGACUCGAGUCCGGUAGAGGAGUGUGGAAUUCCCGGUGUAGCGGUGAAAUGCGCAGAUAUCGGGAGGAACACCUAUGGCGAAGGCAGCUCGCUGGGACGGUACUGACGCUGAGACGCGAAAGCGUGGGGAGCAAACAGG